rnacentral:rRNA from 1 species
GACGAACGCUGGCGGCGUGCCUAAUACAUGCAAGUCGAGCGAGACUCUUCGGAGUCUAGCGGCGGACGGGUGAGUAACACGUGGGCAACCUGCCUGUAAGACUGGGAUAACACCGGGAAACCGGUGCUAAUACCGGAUAAUCCCUUUCCUCUCAUGAGGGAAAGCUGAAAGUCGGUUUCGGCUGACACUUACAGAUGGGCCCGCGGCGCAUUAGCUAGUCGGUGAGGUAACGGCUCACCAAGGCGACGAUGCGUAGCCGACCUGAGAGGGUGAUCGGCCACACUGGGACUGAGACACGGCCCAGACUCCUACGGGAGGCAGCAGUAGGGAAUCUUCCACAAUGGACGAAAGUCUGAUGGAGCAACGCCGCGUGAGCGAUGAAGGCCUUCGGGUCGUAAAGCUCUGUUGUUAGGGAAGAAUAAGUACCGGAGUAACUGCCGGUACCUUGACGGUACCUACCAGAAAGCCACGGCUAACUACGUGCCAGCAGCCGCAGUAACAC